rnacentral:antisense_RNA from 1 species
CUUCACCGAACCCAGCCACAGCGGCUCGCCCUCGCCCCUGCCCUGGCCGUAGGUCGCCAGCAGCGCCUGCGCCUC